rnacentral:rRNA from 1 species
CCCUUAGAUGUUCUGGGCUGCACACGUGCUACACUGGCAGGUUCAGCGAGCUUCAUGCCCUGAUCUGAAAGGAAUGGGAAAUCUUUUCAAAACCUGCCGUGCUUGGGAUAGAUGUUUGCAAUUAUUCAUCUUCAACGAGGAUUGCCUUGUAAGCGCACGUCAUCAGCGUGCAUUGAAUACGACCCUGUAUUCUGUACACACCGCCCGUCGCUCCUACCGAUUAAAGUUUUCGGUGAGUUGACAGGAGGAUUUUUUUGAAACUGGUUCGCCAGUGGAUUUUAGAUCCAAAUGCCAACGAAUCGAUGGCUUUAGAGGAAGGAGAAGUCGUAACA